UACGUAGGGUGCGAGCGUUGUCCGGAAUUAUUGGGCGUAAAGAGCUCGUAGGCGGUUUGUCGCGUCUGCUGUGAAAACCUAAGGCUCAACCUUGGGCUUGCAGUGGGUACGGGCAGACUAGAGUGCGGUAGGGGUGACUGGAAUUCCUGGUGUAGCGGUGGAAUGCGCAGAUAUCAGGAGGAACACCGGUGGCGAAGGCGGAUCUCUGGGCCUUACCUGACGCUCAGGUGCGAAAGCUAGGGGAGCAAACGGG
rnacentral:rRNA from 1 species